rnacentral:rRNA from 1 species
AAUCAACGCUGGCGGCGUGCCUCAGACAUGCAAGUCGAACGAUUAAAGCUCUCUUCGGAGAGUGCAUAAAGUGGCGCACGGGUGAGUAACACGUAAGUAAUCUACCUUCGAGUGGGGAAUAACGUCCGGAAACGGACGCUAAUACCGCAUAAUGCAGCGGCACCUAAUGGUGACAGUUGUUAAAGAAUUUAUUCGCUUGAAGAGGAGCUUGCGGCAGAUUAGCUAGUUGGUAAGGUAAUGGCUUACCAAGGCUUCGAUCUGUAACCGGUCUAAGAGGACGGUCGGUCACACUGACACUGAAUAACGGGUCAGACUCCUACGGGAGGCAGCAGUCGGGAAUUUUGGGCAAUGGGCGAAAGCCUGACCCAGCAACGCCGCGUGAAGGAUGAAGUAUUUCGGUAUGUAAACUUCGAAAGAAUGGGAAGAAUCAAUGACGGUACCAUUUAUAAGGUCCGGCUAACUACGUGCCAGCAGCCGCAGUAA